CUGGAAGCUGAGCAAGGGAGAUAAGACUAGAAGCUAUCCAAAAUGCAAGGGGUGGUGGUGGCGGCUUCUUUCUCUCAAGCUUUAGAAGACAUAACUCUCAAACUUUAAGAACUUUGAGCUGUGGCGUCCUGAACAAGGAUCCUAAGGUAUCAAAGAAACCUCAUAGAGUGAGAAUUGGACAGUGCGGUGUCUUUGUGGAGUGUUUGGUGGGUGACUUCAACUUUCUAUUUCCACUUGUGGCAUUUGAAAUUGCUGUCAAGUUCACUGUCUGGAUAUGUGUCUGCCAGAAAGGCCUUCCAUUUUUUGAUGUGAAGAUUUUUGCUAGGUAUAGAAUCUACCAUGGCCCUUGGGAGUUUGUUCCAGUGGUUGACCACCAUCACUGUUAAAAAGUGAGGUACUUAUACAUGGUAAUCAAGAAUCCUCCCAUGAUGCAACAUCAUCAGGGCUUGAACCUUCGGGAUUGGAACAAAGACUGCUACCAUUUCAGCUACCUUGAGUCAUUCCUUCCUGCAACCUCAUCAAUGUUUUGCUACUCUGUGACUCCCCUCCAAUUUUUCAAUAUCUUACAAAUGAUGUGUAGCCAGAACAUAACAUAAUGCUGUAAUGUUUGGUAGGCAUCAUCCUACCAAAGCCACAUUAAGAGGAACUGUGCAGGACAUGAUUCUUUACCCUAAAUAUCUCUAAAUCACGUUGGCUUCAUAUUUAUGUGCUGCUGUAUCAUGUUCCAUACAGAAUUCGUGAAAAAUGGCAACAACUUUUCAUGACAAAAUUUUAAAAAAGAAAUAAGCUUUAUUUCACAGGUAUCCAAAAGGAGAAGUUUGUCACUUAUAUGAAGCUGUUCUUGAAACUUCCACAUUUUAAUUGCUGUGGGGGUUUUUGUGUGUGUGUGUUUUCCCCUUUUUUUCCCACUUUGCCUUUUUGGGGAAGAGAAGGCAAUAUUGAAAAGAAGGAAAACUUGUGUGGGUGAGAAUGAAGAGUUUUAUGAAAACUGCCAUUUUUGAAAACAGGCAAUUUUUAAUGCAAUAUUUUUCAUUUGAAAAAUUCCAACCACCUUUACUUUCUAACUUGUGUCUAAUCUGUUGUCCACUACAACCCCUAGGUUUGUUCAUCAUUUCUUUCUUCGAGUGAAUAUCUGUGUGUUUUCCCCAGAUAUAUUAUUUUAAACUUUCCCCAUGAUGAAUAGCUGGAAUCCUAGGGUGAAAUCCUGGUCUUAUUGAAGUCAAUGAGAGCUUAGGCAUUAACUUCAAAGGGGCCAGAAUUUCACCUCCUCAUGUCUCUGAAGAGUCUGUGAUUAAAUGAUCUUUAUUAUAUGACUAGAUAUUAGGAAAUGAAAUAUAAUUUCUAGUUGUAUUUUAUUCUCUUGCAAAAGACCUGGGAAAGACUGUUAUUAUCUUUUAGGCUGACAAUCUAACACUUUGACAUUGUGGAUUGGCAGCUGUCAAAACGUAUUUCAUCUUGCACUAAUAUUUUUAGAAAGCAGCUAUU